CUUGGGGCUGCUAGCGCGGGAGAAGCCAGGUGGCCGCAGGGGACUGUCGGAGGGGGGUGGGGGGGGAAGAGCGCCACCACAGCUGCAGCCACCACUCCCUGUUCCUGCUCCUCCUCCCUGAAGCGCCCUUCACCCCGCCCUCUCCCCGCCCGGGACCGAGUCUGGUGGCCACAAAAUGGCGGAUGGGGAGCUGAACGUGGACAGCCUCAUCACCCGGCUGCUGGAAGUACGAGGAUGUCGUCCUGGGAAGAUCGUUCAGAUGACCGAAGCAGAAGUUCGGGGCUUGUGCAUAAAAUCACGGGAAAUAUUUCUUAGCCAGCCUAUUCUCCUGGAACUAGAGGCACCUCUGAAAAUCUGUGGUGAUAUUCAUGGUCAAUAUACAGACUUGCUUCGAUUGUUUGAAUAUGGAGGAUUCCCACCAGAAGCUAAUUAUCUUUUCCUUGGAGAUUAUGUAGACAGAGGCAAACAGUCUCUGGAAACAAUUUGCCUAUUACUGGCGUAUAAAAUCAAGUACCCAGAAAACUUCUUUCUCUUAAGAGGAAAUCACGAGUGUGCUAGCAUCAAUCGGAUCUACGGAUUCUAUGAUGAAUGCAAGCGGAGAUUUAACAUUAAGCUGUGGAAGACCUUCACAGACUGUUUUAACUGUCUGCCUAUUGCAGCUAUUGUGGAUGAGAAAAUUUUCUGUUGUCAUGGAGGACUGUCUCCAGAUCUCCAGUCAAUGGAGCAGAUCCGGAGAAUUAUGAGACCUACAGAUGUUCCUGACACAGGCUUGCUGUGUGACCUGCUGUGGUCUGACCCAGACAAAGAUGUGCAAGGUUGGGGUGAAAAUGAUCGUGGGGUCUCUUUCACUUUUGGUGCUGAUGUGGUCAGUAAAUUUCUGAAUCGUCAUGACCUGGAUUUGAUCUGUCGAGCUCACCAGGUGGUUGAAGAUGGAUAUGAAUUCUUUGCUAAACGGCAGUUGGUCACCCUAUUUUCAGCUCCAAAUUAUUGUGGAGAGUUUGACAAUGCAGGAGGCAUGAUGAGUGUGGAUGAAACUCUGAUGUGUUCAUUUCAGAUAUUGAAACCAUCUGAAAAGAAAGCCAAGUACCAGUAUGGCGGACUGAAUUCUGGACGUCCAGUCACUCCACCUCGCACAGCUAAUCCACCGAAGAAGAGGUGAAGAAAGGAAUAAUGUAGAAACACCAUCCGAUCUGUCAAGGACAAAACUCCAUAUUACAGUAUAUAAUAAGUGUGCACUGUAAAACCAUCCAGCCAUUUGACACCCUUUAUGAUGUCACACGUUUAACUUAAAGAGACGGGUAAAGGAUCUUUAUUAAUUUUUUUCUAGUAGAAGGAUGUGCGACACUGUAUUGUAACAAGUAUAGCUCCAAGUUCUAAUAUCCAGCAUAGAGUUAAAAAAAAGAUUAGGAAAAAACUAUUGCAACUACAUAUUCACAUUUACCACGGUUUUUAAAGUUGACCAACAUCCCAGUUAAAACUUGAUGUAAUAGUUAAACCAGAUGAGAGCAUGAUGUUCCAUUUGUGUAAUGUGGUCUUAUUGUUGCUUGAUUGCUUCUACUUUGGUUAUUUUGUAGCUAGAAUGAUGCAAAUAUGGUAUCUAGUCUUAUUUCCCGGCUCUCUCUUUGAAAUUGAAGUAAGAAAGGGGCUUUUUAGAACAGCCGUUGAUCUCUUAUCCUCCCCCUUAGCCCUCUGUUGUUCAUAAUAACACCGCCUCAAUGUGUGCCCAGUUAUAACGCAAACUUGAUAGUAUGGUAGUGAUUAAAUGGCAAACUAAGUCCAAAAAUGCCCAGACUGGACAGCUUGACAGCCAACAUAAAUUGAGACAGAAAAAAACUGUCUUGACUUUUUAACUUAUACUGCCACACAAUGGAUUUGUGCACUACACUGUUUUAAAUUAUUGACGUUACACUGUGCUAUGGCACUUCAUUUAACUUAGGACAAAAAUGGUAUUGCCUAUUAGUUGGUAACUCGAUUAUGUGGUACCUUGGCUUUAGUUUUAUUAGCAUGAAACACCUUUGGCAUGCUUAGCUUCCAGGUAACUCCUACCUGCAUCAAAAUUCAUCUUACAUAGUUCCACAGAACAUGAAGAUCCUUAUUUGCAAAGCCUUUGAAAGCUGACAUUCUUUUUCAUAAAGAGGGUAUGUUGAAAUAGAUGUUCGUCAAUGGACAAUAGGCUAACUGACGAGUGGUGAGCUGAAAAUGCAACGCUUUAGGAAUGUCCAACAUGAUUUUAUAAGGCUUAUGUCACUAAAGAGUCUACCUUUUGGAUUUUCAUGAUCAAAUUUCAUAUACUAUUGUAUAGACUUCUGCUUUGUAGUGUACUAUAGUAGCAAUAAUUUCUGUACAUGAUUAAGAGUUAUGCAGUAUUUCUUUUCCGCUCGUUUCUUAAGAGUUAACAUUGGCAAAUGGCAAGAUACACAAAAUAUACAGAGAAUAUACAAAAUUUAUCGUAGGAUAAAGGAAAAGGCACAGAUUUGUGAUGCUUUAGCAUCAACUUAGGAUGCAGUACUUAUUGGAUAUAACUACAAAAGCUUUUAUUGAACAUUUUCAAAUUUGUACUUUUCUUUGGGGGAAGGCUGCAGAUUUCUACCAUUCUAAAUGUGCAUCAGUAGAUGUAAAACUCUUGACUUCAGUAUUGUCUUUCAAAAUGUUAAAUUGAGGAUUCUAGUAACUUACGUUUUUUGAACUGGCACAUUUAUAUAAUGCAAGAGUUCUAUUGAUUUCUGACACAAUGGAUUUAAGUCUCUUUUCUAAUUCCAUUUUGGUUUAAAUGCAUAUUUUAAAUGUAGGUUUUUUCAUUUAGUAAAAGUUGUCUAAUUCAUUUGAAUGAAGUCUGACUGGUUAUUUUAACAUACCUUACUGUUACUCCAGAAGCAUGGAGUUUGUUGCCUUUUAAAAACAAAACAAAGUCACAGCAUAUGUAUCUGCUAUUGAUUUAUGUUGGAUUGGUCUGUGGUUUUGAACAAUGGUGUAAUUUACCCCACCUUGAAGCGAGCACCAGUUUCAGUACACAGAAUAAAAUGCAGAAGUAGAUUUCUUCUGAUACUCCUCAAAGACGCUGUUCUUGAAAAUCAUUGAUGAGAGCUGUAUGAGGGUAACUUCAGUUUGUGAUAAGGUAAUUGAAAUCUCUUUUGUAAGCCUCGACAGGGUAACUUCCUACUGUCAGUCAUUGCUUACUUGAGCUUUGGUUUUAAAAGUUUUGAAAGUGCUGGGUUUUGCAAAGUGCCAGCCUCUGUUAUAAGAAGCAUCGUGUUACCAAACAUCUGGAUUAACACUUUCCCACUUUUUUCCUUAGUUUCUGGAACAAUGUCUUCUGUAUCAUGAAAUGUCCAGGUGUAAAGCUGUAUGUUAUAAAGAGGAGAAAGAAAGACACCGAUGCAGAGUAGAAUGGCAUUCAAAUGGUGAACUUCUCAUGUAGUUUCACAGAAUUGGAACAAAGAUUUGUGUCUCAUCUUGGAGGAAUAUCUGCAGCUUUGUUUCCUGCAGAGAAAAUGCUAGUUUGAAUUCUUCUCACUCCAGAAGGAUAUAAAUCAUCACUAAGUCACGGGCUUUCUACUCUGAAUGCAAUAGGCUUCAGUCUGCCUUUCAGAUAAACCACAUCCCUGCAAGUGCACUGGCACUUGAAGAAGUGUCCUUGGAUAACCUGCACAGAAACUGAACCACCAGAGAGGGACUACUUCAGAAAAGUAAACGGAUGAAGGUACCAGAAGCAGAGCAGGGGAAACAUUUGUGGGAUAACUGAAACGAUUGGAGUUGGACAGGCUCUCCGUAAGGCUCUUCUGGAAUUUGAGUCUAGAAGGAUCAUGGUUUGGCUAGAGGCUAAUCUACCCAUUAAGACAAAGAUCAGCUUGAAGGCUGCAAUAUCCUUGGGUGGUAGAAAAAAACCAGAAACGGGACAGAGAGCCAAGAAGGGUCAGGUGUAGCUGAAAGAGCCCCCAGCAGUGACCCCAAUCAAAAGCUGAGGGAGGGAUUUUGGACACAGUGCUUUCAAACAAAAUACAUUUCCAAUUGCAAAGAAAACUCCUCACUUCUUGCUUGGCCUUGUUUUAAAAGUUCACAGAGAAAGGGCUUCGUGUGUUGUGUUAAUCAAGAGCACUGAUGUAAGGAAUUACCUGAUGCCAUCAGCAUUCUCAUCUCAGUGGAACCAACCCAAAAUAACUCUUACCACAAACUGAUUGGGGCUAUGUAACUGACAUGGAAUGAAAAUAAUAAUGGUCUGUAUCAGAAAAAGUUCUUACUUUAAAGACUUUGGUAACAAAUACAUGCAGGAGUUGAAGGCAGCCAAGAGUCGGAUAGGCUAUUUACUCUCCAAUCAAUUCCAUUUUAAAAGCUUACUUAAAGAACGCUAAUUUAAAAUAAGAUAUCCUUCUGAUCAUUUCUACAAUUAAGGGCAUGUAAAUUCACAUUCAUAAUGAAUGCUUUUUUUGAAUAUUUGAUUGCAGUAAUCCAAAUGAUCCUAUUUAAUAUCAAGGAUGGAGCCAGUACCUAUUUUUUGAUAACUGUUUUGCAUAGCAUGCUCCAUAUAGUUAAAAUUUUUGGAGAACUGUUUUAGAAGUCACGACCUUUUGGUAGCACAGUCCUGGUAGCUGGAACUGGCACCUCUUGUAGACAGGAUGCUGGAAGACCACAGAGCUAAAAGACACAAAUUUCAGGUUCUUUGUGUUUUGUCCUAAUAAUUUUUUACUGCAUUUUUCUAACUGCAAGCAUCGCCUGUUUGGAUGUCAAAGAAUAAGAUGUGCUCAUUUUACCUGCCUCCUCUUUUUAGCUUUCACCUUCUCCUGUUGACAGAGCUGGCAGGUCUUACUCCAAUUCUCAGUCUUUCUGUCCAGUUCUACUUUUUCCAGCCUGAAAACAACCUUCUUCAGCCUUGCAAGGUACACUCAAUUGUCUUACCAUCCUCAAGGUGACAAAUUCAAAGCCUCACCAUCUUUAGAAAAUGAAGUCUUUACUUCUCAGAAUCAUACAUGUGAAAAUCCUGGGGGGGGAAAAAAAAAAGGAAUUUUGGAGGGCUUUUGACCAAUGCAAUUUGGAGUGACAAAAAUCCUUAGAACCACUUAGAUUUUCUAUGGUAAUUAUACACACUGAGAGUUAAUGAGAAUGUGUAAGAAAUGCUGUUUGUUUCUAUCUGUAAUGUGAAUAAUCAUCAUCAACUUUGCAGAACACAGAAGACAAAAAGCAGAUGUUGGAGAUAGGCUGGUGAUAAUGGGCUGUUCAUAACAGAGUAUUUUAAUGUGUUCCACGGGGUAAUAUGCAAAUAUUUCAGUUGAGCAGAGCUUUAGGUCAUAUAUUGUUUUCUUACAAUUUGUAACAAGAUUAAGAAUCAUAUUUGCAGAAAAGCAGCAGAGUUGAGUGUAGUGCAGAUGAGAAGCAACACUGUUCCCUGUGAAGUCUUCAGGCAUCCUGAGCUGAAAAUUACAGCUAGCCAGGUGUCACGUGGAAUUACAGGAAGACGGUGUACCUGCUAUCCACUAGCCAGGUGUCACAUGGAAUUAUAGGGAGACAGUGGACCUGCUAUCCACAACAGUGCUUUAUCAUAAUUAUUAUUAUCCAGACGCUGUGCUGCCUGCAGUUUGUAGAUACUGAAAGAAUUUUAAGAGGGACAUAGCCAGAAUUUCUCAGUGUUGGAUGUGAAGCCAAACAUUUCACCUCUUAACAGAGACUUGCUUCAUGGCUUCAAGACAAAAUAUCUGCUCUCCUUCCAUUCCCUCUGUAAAUGAGGCCUAGGAUUUGUGUCUCAUGGAAUGUUGUGAGAUUAAUCUUUUUCUGUAUGCAUAAACUGUUUUGAAAGUGGAAAGGUCCAAGUCUUAUUUUACAACAGCCUUGCAAUUACAGCACAAAUGGAGCAGGCCCCAUCUCUCCUAAGAAAGGGACAAACAGCUCAGAACUCAGCAACUACUCUAGCCAGCUAGAACAAAUACAAUUUUGCAGUCCAUUGAUUUCCGUUUACAACAUCAAGUUUUAUUUGAUUUAUAUUUUUUUAUCUAUGUGCCACAACAACAACAACAACAACAACAACAACAACAGUGGGUUUUUUUAACCUUUUUUAAUGAAGUGUCACUAGCACGUGGUUCCUGUUAGCCUGGGGAUAUUUUGGAUAAGCUAAGACAAAGGACCAGCAGGCAAACAAAACAGGGCCAUUUAGGACAGUGUUGAUGCUGCCUAAAAUGGUUUUCUCCUUGGGAUUUCUGAGCUUAUUGGACUACUAUAUAGCUGCAUGGACUAUGUAAAGGCAUCUCACACAUAUGUAGUUAAGGCCAGAGUGUAACAUCCUAGGUGUUGUUUAACGACUUUUAACAAAUAAUAGUAGCAAAUGCAUGAAUGUUGCUUGGGAAAAAUUCUGUCCUCUAGUGUGACUCCCCCUGCACUCCCCUAAGCACUAUGUGGUGCCUGGCACAGUACUGCAAGGCAUCAAGUUAGAAUCCUCCUGGUGUUGAAAGGCUGAUGCUGGGAGUGGAUCCUGGCGUCAAGCCCUCUCCGUAGAGCCUGGCUUUGGGCUGUUUCCCCAGCUGGACAUGCACCUUUCACUCUUCCCUGUGCCUGGUGUAUGGGCCACUGUCACUGACUGUGACCAUGACCAAAUCAGGCCAUGAGUGGAGGAGUCUGCAGCACAUUGGUACAGGUGCCAUAAUGUUGCCUGGAGAAAGUGGGGAUGUCUGGGGAGGAAGGGAGGAGGGAGAGAGAGGGAGUAGCUACUGUUGAGAGGAGGCAUGCAAUAGUGCCCUCUAAGCUGCUGGAAGAAGUCAAGUUGCCGCUGAGUACCUAGGUGUUGCAGGGAGAAUGUGACCUAUCCGUGAAUAAAUAAGGGAAAACUUGCAUUGUCAUUGUUCUCACUGACUGGUGCUUAUGGGAAAAUGGAAGAUCAGGCUGUCAGGCUGUCAGCUUCUAUGAGCCCUAACUUCCUCCUUAGAGGGAGAUGGCUACUUUCCCAACAAUGGCCUCAGCUCUUUCGGUUACAGCCAGUCAAGUCCAAUGACAUCAAAUAUUAAUCUGGCACAGAAGUUGGGCUGUCCAAGUACAUUUUAUAACCAACAGCAUAUCAAAUCCUUUGGACCUGAUGACAAUUGCUCCUUUGUUGUCACAUCAGUCAGUCACUUUAACCCAGAUUUUCAGUCAAUUCAAAGGAAAGAAAACACUGCUUCAGAGAACUGACUACUGCAAAAGUACUUUAAAAAGAAAAAAAAAAGAACAGAAGGAAGGUAGGGCUUAAACUCAUCACAAAAGAUCUCACCAUAAAAUCAGGAGAAUGCACAAGGAGCCUUAGAUGACCUCGCAGCAAGAGGCUGUGCUGAUGUUUUGGGUAUAGCCUCUCUGCAGGGGCAGACUUCUGACCAUCUCAAAACUAGUCUUUGGGCUCACAGUUAGUUCAGAGCCUCAGGCCUGACCUGUUUGUGUAACAGCAUUUAUAUUACUUUUAUAACAGAAUUUCUGUCCAUAUAACAGAAAUUGCUAGCACUUUGAAAGCAGACAAACUUCAGAAAUCCAGUUUCCCAGGUGGAGCUUGAAAAGACAGGACCAAGACAGUGCACCCUUUCAGUAGUUACCUGACUAGAGUCCCCUGUAAUCUGGCAGGCAGAUGCCACCUUCAGAGGGACUCUGUGUCAGGCAGCUCCUGCCUACAUUUUUUCUAGCAUCCAGAACUGGCACAGUGCUUUGAUCCACCUCUGAUUUUGUCUGUAGAAUGUACAAGGGAAAAACAACUCUUGAGACAGCAGAAGGCUGAACAUGCAACCCUUGCACAUUAACAAAACCACGCCAAUUAGCUGGGGGGGAAUAUGACAAAAAUGAGGAGAAUUUUGCUCUUCUCUGCACAAGACUAGAGACAGUAUGAGAAAAUUACAACUUGACCUUAAAUUGGUCAAAGGAAACAAAGAAAUAAAAUAUAGGCUAAAGAAGAAUUCUUCCUCAUAACUUGAACCAAAGGCCAAAGCACUUUAACACAUGAGGACUGGAAGAUUCAGAGAAAUAUCUGGAAAAAAAUUGCACACCUAUAGUCAUGGAGGAAAAUGUAGGAACUUGCUUAAUUUAGUAAUAUACCUGGCGUGACUCAAGAAAGCUGGAGUUUCUACACUGUAUUGGCACCACUCCUGACCUCAUUGUGUGCAGAACAGAUGGCUCAAGGAACAGGCAUUACUGUUAUUUAAGAGGAAAAGCAAGGCAUCUGAACAGGAAUGAAGGCACCAACACCUGAUAUCCCCUUUGCCAGGUAAGCCGAUAGCAUGAAUGGGAUGUUCACUCAGUCACAAGGCAUUAAAUAUUUCUGCUCUGACUUACGCCAGCUAUGAGCUAUUGUCAGAAGAACCAUUAGCUGCUUACAUCAAGACAUUAAGCCAAAUGCAGGCUCCAGUGAGGUCAGUCAUAACACUCAAAUUGAUUUCAACAGCAAUAGAAAUUAGCCACUAGUGGUCAAGAGGGAGGAGUUAGAUGGCAGUCUGCUAUCACCUCACAGGGUAAGCUUGAGUUAAAUUCACUCAAGUUUUGGGACAUACUGAAAUUCUGUGUGUGAGUGUGCAUACAACACUGAAGCAUGGCACUAGGAGAUCCGGUUGGGAGCUACUGAAAGUGGUGUCCAAAGUUUCCUGCAAAUACAGAUGACUAUUUUAGGAACUGAUGGACAUCCUGGCUCCCAGCUGUGUAUGACUGACGGUAUCUUCUCUAUCUCAUAUCACUUAGCGCUGAUAUUCUGUUCAUUUAAUUACUCAACCAGACAGAAGUAUUAAAUGAUGUUUCAGAACUCUUUAUUAUGGUAUAUGCUUUCCAGUAAUUCUCUCCCUCAUUCUCUGACAGUAGUGAGGGAAAAACCCCUCCUGCCUGUAAGAGUACUCACCUCUUAGAAAUAGAUCUUGUUCUUUAUCCCUUUUGGUUUUGUUUCCAGUUGCAUUUAGAUGUGCAAAUCUCUGUGGAUGCUCCUCAAUGUACAUUUACAUUUUCCCUUGCUUUUAAGGAAAUGCACACAGAUUGUACUUUUUAAAUGUCUUAUUUGCUUUCUAUUUCUCUGUAUUUUCCUAUCAUGACCACUUUUAAAAGGCAUUCUUUUCAGACACAAAGGAAUUAAGUUGCAUUUUGUCCUAUCCUGGACCUAAAUUUUAACAUUCGGCGUUAGUCUGAACCGUUUCCUCUUAGAUCGCACAAGCAAAUCUACAGUUCAGUGUCACGUCUGCUCUCCUGUGGUAAUUAAAGUCUUAAGUUUAUCAUCAUCACUAACAGCAAAUACUGUAUCCAUUUUUAGAGAAUGAUCCAAACUGCUUGUAUUUCCUGAUCUUUCUUCUCAUUCCUUUGUUAUUAUAUGCUUUCUGCCUCUUAAUUGUUUCCAUAUGAAAUGGCCUCAGUCAAAGCCGUUGCAAUGAACAGCGUCCAUUUCAAACUGUCAGCAUUUUGGUCCCAGCAGAUAACCAUGAGCUGGUUACUCCCUGCAUACAGUAGCACUCCAUAAGGACAAGUAAUAAGUUCUGCAGUCUCGUUAACCGAAAAACAGUCAAGAUCUAACACCGCAGCCAAAAGGCAGCUUAGUAAAUGUAAUUUCUGUCCUUUUAGCCAAUAACCUUGAUCCCGUUUUUUUAAUUUCUGCACAGCUAUAAAAUUUGUCUUUCCUUUCAGUAUAGAUGAAUAGUUAGGAACUAACUUAGCUUCUCGCCUAUGGAUGGUGUUUAAAAUGUCCUUUGUCAAUUAACUCAGGGAGUCCCUUUUAUAUUUUCAGUACUGAGGCUGCUUUAUUGAAGUAUAAACACAGGCCUCUUCCUCAAGCCACAAAGCUCUGCUGGUUCUGCUGCAUUUCCACAGCUCGGUAUAGGGCUGGAUGCACUUAACUGAGAGGUGUGAAGGAGUAUCCUGGAAGAGACAGAAUCUAAAUAUAUUCUGCUACAAGAUUUCUCUCGUUCCUCUCUCCACCCCCAGAUCCCAGAGACUACAAUGGCUUAUGCAGGGUUAUACAGAUGAAGCUAACGAUGAAGGGAGGAGAUUUCCUACAGAUAAAGACUUUUAGCCCAGUACCAGCACAGCAUACAGCCUGAAACAGUGCUGGGGUGGGUUUUGAGGGAAAGCACUCCCAACCAUUGCUUCCAAAGAGAGGACCUACACAAUUGUUUCCAGGAAAGGAUCCCUGGCUAUAAGGAGAUCCUUCCCUACAGCUUUGACAUAGGCACUUGGACAAGGUGGAGUAGGGGAUGAGAGUUAUCCAGACCCGUUGCACUUAGUGUUUCCUUUUGCUUAUUCCUUUCCUAGUUUAUUUUGUUUCAAACUACCCUUUGACAUCCAACUAUCUGUAUGCAUCAUAUGGCUUGCAAGUCUACAGUGCCAUGGCUAGUCCUCCUGAGGCCAGGUGCCUGGCAACUUACUUCCCAUAUCUUACAAAGGCAUCGCCUUAUUCAAGGAGGCCAACUCCAUAAAAGCACAAAAGAGCAAACAAGAGUUUAGUCUCAUUUGCCCCUGAUCUUAUGCUUAUGUAAUCCCACUAAUUUCAUUUGCAUGAGAACAGAAACAAUCUCUUGGUAGAAAUGGCUUUGCAGGGCUGUUAUCCAAACCAGAAGGCUGAGCAAGAGUCUACUUCACAUGCAAAACCACCACAGUAUAAAUGACCUGCAAAGAGGUUAUUUUGAUUCCCACUGUACAUUUUUAUGCAUGCUUUGAUAUGUUGUAUGUAGUGGGAUGGGGGCAGGGGAGAUGAACAGCCCUCCCCAUUCCCCAUGUGAAAGUUGUCUGCCUGAUUAUUUUUUUUUUCUCCAGGUACACAGAAGGAAAUGAAACCAUUAGAAGGGAUACCUCAGAACUGUAAACUCCAAAGGGAGGAAAUUACUAUUGCUUCAACAGGUUUGCCCAGUCAAUAUUGUCAUUUAAGCAACCAAAGGGUCUCUUCUAAAGGAUUGGAAAAAAUGUGCUCGUAAAACUGCAAAUACCUAUUUCCCAAAAUAACUAAAACUGCUAUGGUUUCAGGGACAGAAGUGAUGCGUUUGAAAUGGGACUAAAUGUUUAUUUACAUGAGAGAGCAUGCUAGCUCUGGUCUACUGAGAAAAUAAUGGGCAUUAAAACCUAUACAGCAUAUGGCCUACUGAAUAAAAAGUAGAUUAUACUUAAAAGA